GGCCAGACUCCUACGGGAGGCAGCAGUGAGGAAUAUUGGUCAAUGGGCUUACGCCUGAACCAGCCAAGCCGCGUGAGGGAAGACGGCCCUAUGGGUUGUAAACCUCUUUUGUCGGAGAACAAAACCCGGGACGUGUCCCGGACUGCGUGUAUCCGAAGAAAAAGCAUCGGCUAACUCCGUGCCAGCAGCCGCGGUAAUACGGAGGAUGCGAGCGUUAUCCGGAUUUAUUGGGUUUAAAGGGUGCGCAGGCGGCGCGGCAAGCCGGCGGUCAAAUCGCGGGGCUCAACCCCGCCCAGCCGUCGGAACUGCCGGGCUAGAGUGGGCGAGAAGUGCGCGGAAUGCGUGGUGUAGCGGUGAAAUGCAUAGAUAUCACGCAGAACUCCGAUUGCUGGGGCAGCGCACCGGCUCCCUACUGACGCUCAGGCACGGAAGCGUGGGUAUCGAACAGGAUUAGAUACCCGCGUAUC
rnacentral:rRNA from 1 species